rnacentral:tRNA from 1 species
GGGACUAUAGUUAAAAAUAACAUUUGGGUUGCAUUCAAAAAGUACUACUUUAAGUAGUUAAUCUCA